rnacentral:rRNA from 1 species
UACGGGGGGUGCGAGCGUUGUCCGGAAUCACUGGGCGUAAAGGGCGCGUAGGUGGUCUGGUAAGUUUGUGGUGAAAGCCCGGGGCUCAACCCCGGGUCUGCCGCGAAUACUGUCGGACUUGAGUGCUGUAGAGGCUGGUAGAAUGCCGGGUGUAGCGGUGGAAUGCGUAGAGAUCCGGCAGAAGACCGGUGGCGAAGGCGGCUAACUGGCCCGAUUACUGACGCUGAGGCUCGAAAGCGUGGGGAGCAAACAGG